rnacentral:rRNA from 1 species
UUGCACCACGUAGAAUGCUCCCGAUCCCGUUCGAUCUCGGAAGAUAAGCUACGUCGUGUCCCGUCAGUACUUAGAUGGGUGACCGCUUCUUAGAUCAGUACUUAGAUGGGUGUUGCAGGUU